GACGAACGCUGGCGGCGUGCCUAAUACAUGCAAGUAGAACGCUGAAGAGAGGAGCUUGCUCUUCUUGGAUGAGUUGCGAACGGGUGAGUAACGCGUAGGUAACCUGCCUUGUAGCGGGGGAUAACUAUUGGAAACGAUAGCUAAUACCGCAUAACAAUAGGUGACACAUGUCAUUUAUUUGAAAGGGGCAAUUGCUCCACUACAAGAUGGACCUGCGUUGUAUUAGCUAGUAGGUGAGGUAACGGCUCACCUAGGCGACGAUACAUAGCCGACCUGAGAGGGUGAUCGGCCACACUGGGACUGAGACACGGCCCAGACUCCUACGGGAGGCAGCAGUAGGGAAUCUUCGGCAAUGGGGGCAACCCUGACCGAGCAACGCCGCGUGAGUGAAGAAGGUUUUCGGAUCGUAAAGCUCGGUUGUAAGUCAAGAACGAGUGUGAGAGUGGAAAGUUCACACUGUGACGGUAGCUUACCAGAAAGGGACGGCUAACUACGUG
rnacentral:rRNA from 1 species